rnacentral:lncRNA from 1 species
CCCCGGCUGCCGUCUCCAGGGCGCGGACCGACGCGGGAAGCGGGUCGGCGAGGGACGGGGACACAGUGCGCCGAAAUCCAUGUGGAAUCCAACACUGGGAGACAAUGCUGCGAGCGAAGGAAGGAAGACAAAAAGCUAAAGGAGCAGCCCUGCCCGUCGUUCCGAUUCUCCAGAAGUUCCUGAGAACGUACGAGAAGCACUGUGCACAGACUCGGACGUCCGUGUGCCCGGCCGUCAAGAGGGACCUGAAAGCCGGCAUUGACAAUGGACAGAUUCUCAGGAAGUUUAUACUUGUAAGACCUGAUGACUCCCCGCCAAGCAUCCCACCGAUUUCCUUGGAACCUUUGCUUAUGACAAUUCGAGAAGAGUGUUACACGCUGGGGAAAGAGAUCUGCAUCUGGGGCCUUCAACUGAGCAACCCAGAGAUUGCCAGACUCGCUUUGCUUCUGGAGUUGAAGGGGCGCAGCACCUGCCCGUUUACCACCCUAGAGCUCGUUGAUUGCAAGAUGGAUCCGUGGUCUCUCGGGAGACUUGGGGAGGCUCUGCAGUUCAGCAGUUUGCACUCUCUUGUCCUGGAUUACUGCAACUUUGGAAUUGAAGAAAUUGAGCGUAUUUUCUCAGGCCUGGAGAACAACCAAAGGCUCCAAGGCCUCAGCCUGCGUUACUGUGGUCCGGGGCCACGGAGCGGGCCGGCGCUGGGCUCGGUCGUAAGCCAGAGUGCUGUCCGUGAGCUGCACCUCGACGGCAAUUACUUGCAAUGUUCUGGAGCUCUGGCUCUGCUCAGACCCCUAGCAGAGUAUGCAGAGAUGCAGGGCAAAGGCUGGCCCACCACAUCCUCACCAGACGCCAGGAAUCCCCCUCAGCUGCUCGGAGUCAGCCACAGAGCAAGUUCAACUUUGAACCCGAUUACAAAGUCAUCUGGAGCUGUAACAGUGAAAACUACUUCAGGGAAGAAUAAGAGAAAGAAAGGAAUCAAGAAAAAAGUUAAAGGUUUGACUGAAGCUGGUCCUUGGUUAGUGAAAUUGCAUUUGGCAGAUAAUGGCAUAGAUGGAAAAGGAAACGAAGGAGAAAAAGGCUUCUUGGAAUUCACUCAGAUUUUAACAUGGAGGCUUUAUAUGAACUGCUCCAUUCCAUUUUCACCACAACCUUGUGAAAUAGGCAGAACAGCUCUUUU